UACGUAGGGACCAAGCGUUGUUCGGAUUUACUGGGCGUAAAGGGCGCGUAGGCGGCGUGGUAAGUCACUUGUGAAAUCUCCGAGCUUAACUCGGAACUGCCAAGUGAUACUGCUGUGCUAGAGUGCAGAAGGGGCAACCGGAAUCUUGGUGUAGCGGUGAAAUGCGUAGAUAUCAAGAGGAACACCUGAGGUGAAGACGGGUUGCUGGGCUGACACUGACGCUGAGACACGAAAGCGUGGGGAGCAAACAGG
rnacentral:rRNA from 1 species